AAUUCGUUGCUACACGAAGAACCUUACCUGGGUUUGACAUAGCAGUGGUAGGGAAGAGAAAUCGGACCGACCUUCGGGAGCUGUUACAGGUGUUGCAUGGCUGUCGUCAGCUCGUGUCGUGAGAUGUUCGGCUAAGUCCGCUAACGAGCGCAACCCGCGUUGUGUGUUAUAUGUGUCACACAAUACCGCCGGUAUUAAGCCGGAGGAAGGUGCGGAUGACGUCAAGUCAGCAUGACCUUUAUAUCCAGGGCUACACACACGCUACAAUGGACAGUACAACAGGUUGCCAAGCCGCGAGGCGGAGCCAAUCCUCUAAAGCUAGUCCUCAGUUCAGAUUGCAGGCUGCAACUCGCCUGCAUGAAGUUGGAGUUGCUAGUAACCGCAGGUCAGCUAUACUGCGGUGAAUACGUUCCCGGGGCUU
rnacentral:rRNA from 1 species